UUUAAUGAGAGUUUGAUCCUGGCUCAGGACGAACGCUGGCGGCGUGCCUAAUACAUGCAAGUAGAACGCUGAAGUCUGGUGCUUGCACUAGACGGAUGAGUUGCGAACGGGUGAGUAACGCGUAGGUAACCUGCCUCAUAGCGGGGGAUAACUAUUGGAAACGAUAGCUAAUACCGCAUAACAGUAUUUACCGCAUGGUAGAUACUUGAAAGGAGCAAUUGCUUCACUAUGAGAUGGACCUGCGUUGUAUUAGCUAGUUGGUGGGGUAACGGCUCACCAAGGCUUCGAUACAUAGCCGACCUGAGAGGGUGAUCGGCCACACUGGGACUGAGACACGGCCCAGACUCCUACGGGAGGCAGCAGUAGGGAAUCUUCGGCAAUGGGGGCAACCCUGACCGAGCAA
rnacentral:rRNA from 1 species